rnacentral:ncRNA from 3 species
UCCAAGGAAGGCAGCAGGCGC